rnacentral:rRNA from 1 species
AGAUUAAGCCAUGCAUGCGUAAGUUCAUACUUUUAACGGUGAAACCGCGAAUGGCUCAUUACAUCAGUUGUGGUUUAAUGGAUCAUAAGAAUAAAAUGGAUAACUGUGGAAAACCUAGAGCUAAUACAUGGCAUGAAGUCCCGACUUACGAAGGGAUGCAUUUAUUAGGUCAAAACCAACUGUUCCGCAAGGAAUUACUGGUGUGCUUACUCUGGGUAAAUUUUGCAGAUUGCAUUGCUUAAUGCAAGUGACGUAUCUUUCAAGUGUCUGCCCUAUCAACCUUCGUUGGUAGUUGAUAUGACUACCAUGGUCGUAACGGGUAACGGGGAAUAAGGGUUCUAUUCCGGAGAGAGAGCAUGAGAAACGGCUGUCACAUCCAAGGAAGGCAGCAGGCGCGCAAAUUACCCAAUCCUAGAUCUGGGAGGUAGUGACGAAAAAUAACAAUGCCAGGAUCAUUAGAUCCGGUAAUUGGAAUGGGAACAAUCAAAUUCCUUUAUCGAGGAACUAUUGGAGGGCAAGUUCUGGUGCCAGCAGCCGCGGUAAUUCCAGCUCGAAUAGCGUAUGUUAAAGUUGCUGCGGUUAAAAAGCUCGUAGUUGGGUCUGAGGAGGCGAUUGGCGGCUUACUUUAUGUAUUGUCCGCCUUUCAAUCCUGAUUACGCUAUAUCAUGUUCGUUCUGCACUUCAUUGUGUGGGCGAAUGUACAGCAAGUUCACUUUGAGAAAAUUAGCGUGCUUAAUGCGAGUUGAAUGCUUGUAUAAUGUUGCAUGGAAUGAUAAAAUAGGACCUCGGUUCUGUUUGUUGGUUAUCGGAAGCAGAGGUAAUGAUUAAUAGGGACGGACGGGGGCAUUCGUAUUGCGAUGAUAGAGGUGAAAUUCUGUGACCAUCGCUAGACGAACUACUGCGAAAGAUUUGCCAAGAAUGUUUUCAUUAAUCAAGAACGAAAGUUAGAGGUUCGAAGACGAUUAGAUACCGUCCUAGUUCUAACUAUAAACUAUGCCAACUGGGAAUCCGCCGAUUGCCUUUCAAGGCUUGGCGGGCACCCUGCGGGAAACCAAAGUGAACAGGUUCCGGGGGGAGUAUGGUUGCAAAAUCGAAACUUAAAGGAAUUGACGGAGGGGCACACCAGGAGUGGAGCCUGCGGCUCAAUUUGACUCAACGCACGAAAGCUUACUCGGUCCGAACACCAUGAGGAUUGACAGGUUGACAGCUCUUUCUUGAUUUGGUGGGUGGUGGUGCAUGGCCGUUCGUAGUUGGUGGAGUGAUUUGUCUGGUUUAUUCCGAUAACGAACGAGACUCUAGCCUAUUAAUUAGAGUGGUGAUACACUCGUGUCAUUGCUGUUACUUCUUAGAGGGACAGGUGUUGCAUAGACACACGAAGUGGAGCAAUAACAGGUCUGUGAUGCCCUUAGAUGUUCGAGGCCGCACGCGCGCUACAAUGUCAGAAUCAGAGAGUUCCCGGCUCGAAAGAGUCGGGAAAUCUGAAAUAGCUUUCAUGAUUGGGAUCGGAGAUUGUAAUUAUUCUUCGUGAACGAGGAAUUCCUAGUAAACGCGAAUCAUUAUUUCGCGUUGAUUAAGUCCCUGCCCUUUGUACACACCGCCCGUCGCUACUACCGAUUGAAUGGCUUAGUGAGGUCUGUGGAUAGACGGCAUGGGUGCGCAAGUACCCGUUGCAUUGCUCUAAAAGCUGACCGAACUUAACCAUUUAGAGGAAGUAAAAGUCGUAACAAGGUUUCCGUAGGUGAACCUGCAGAAGGAUCA